rnacentral:sRNA from 12 species
AGCCUAAACCAGUAGCAAUACUGGCAUGGUGAAAGUCAGUCAGGUAAUGCACAGAGAACCCGUCAUAUGGGGUCGCAUUACCUGCCGUAUCAGGAAACUGGUACGAGUGGCUUCGGCUACU